UACGAAGGGGGCUAGCGUUGCUCGGAAUCACUGGGCGUAAAGCGCACGUAGGCGGCUUUUUAAGUCAGGGGUGAAAUCCUGGAGCUCAACUCCAGAACUGCCUUUGAUACUGAGAGCUUGAGUUCGGGAGAGGUGAGUGGAACUGCGAGUGUAGAGGUGAAAUUCGUAGAUAUUCGCAAGAACACCAGUGGCGAAAGCGGCUCACUGGCCCGAUACUGACGCUGAGGCACGAAAGCGUGGGGAGCAAACAGG
rnacentral:rRNA from 1 species